GCUCAACGGGUGGAACCUUAAUGGUCGAAAGAGGGGAUUCAGCCGGCCGGACUCCGGCGGUUGGUGUGGCUCGGAUUCGUUCCAAGAGAGGACCCGGCGUGAACGAGAGUUGCCGUGGCUCCGCACCAGUCUGCCAGAGUCCCGGUCGGCUUAUUUCUCCCUCGAGUAGCCUCGUGGCGACCUGCUGGGUGGGCCCCGAUGUCCGUGCCGGACUGGUAGCCUCCACAAGACCGUGGAGGCGAUGACCGGCUGCGGUUACUGUGUGGGCUCGCCUGGCAGUCACUGUAAGGAGGCCGCGAGAGUGGGCGGCAACGUCCUCUCGGAGUGGCCUCUCGCCAUGAGUUACUAUUGGUCAUCCACCUGACCCGUCUUGAAACACGGACCAAGGAGUCCAACAAGUGCGCGAGUCUAAGGGUGCCUAAGAGACCCGGAGGCGAAAUGAAAGUGAGCCCCUAGUGGGCAGGCCGAUCCCCUGUCGGCCGGAGCCUGGUGGCCCCGUGCGGUUGAGGAACUCUUCCCGUGCGAGAGCUGCCGGUGCCUCGGUCGAUGGCUGACCCUUCCCGGGGUCAGAGAUGGGGCGCAGGCCAAGGACUUGCCAUUGUGCGGCGCGGGACACGGGGUCGUCGACGUCUUGGCGGCCCUUAUCCCAGCGUCCGUCGGCAAGUACCUGAGAGCGCCAAUGUUGGGACCCGAAAGAUGGUGAACUAUGCCUGGCGAGGACGAAGCCAGAGGAAACUCUGGUGGAGGUCCGAAGCAGUUCUGACGUGCAAAUCGAUUGUCAGAGCUGGGUAUAGGGGCGAAAGACUAAUCGAACCAUCUAGUAGCUGGUUCCCUCCGAAGUUUCCCUCAGGAUAGCUGGCAUUCAGGAUGAUGAGUUUCAUCCGGUAAAGCGAAUGAUUAGAGGCAUUGGUGGUGCAAUGCCGUCAACCUAUUAUCAAACUUUAAAUGGGUGAGAUGUAGAGCUUGCUUGAAUAUUGAAGCUCUACGGAUGGAGAGAAUCAGAGUGC
rnacentral:rRNA from 1 species